rnacentral:rRNA from 1 species
UACGUAGGGGGCAAGCGUUGUCCGGAAUCAUUGGGCGUAAAGCGCGUGUAGGCGGCCCGGUAAGUCCGCUGUGAAAGUCCAGGGCUCAACCCUGGAAUGCCGGUGGAUACUGUCGGGCUCGAGUCCGGAAGAGGCGAGUGGAAUUCCCGGUGUAGCGGUGAAAUGCGCAGAUAUCGGGAGGAACACCAAUGGCGAAGGCAGCUCGCUGGGACGUUACUGACGCUGAGACGCGAAAGCGUGGGGAGCAAACAGG